GCUGCCUCAACGUGCCAUGGCACACAACAGUGCGGUAUCAGUAUGGCUAGCAAUCUGCCGGAUCUUUGCUCUCCAUUGAUCGUUGUCAUCUCAUCAGGUUCUCUUUACUUUUCUCUCGGCCCGAGAUCCAAAUUAAUCGAGGAGCUAGCCAUUGACAAAGUGAGAGAGUGAGAGAGGUGCCUUUUGCUGAAAAUUAAAGCAGUUAAAUUGCUUUAUCGAUAUCGUAUGUUGUAAAGUCAGUAAGGGAGUGAUUAAAGUUGACUAUGCCACUAAAGCUUUGGACUUUGGAGUGGACUCCACGGAGUCUUCUUCUCUUCUCCUCAAGUCACAGGCACGCAUGGAUAUGCGCGCCAAAGCCAGGGAGUGAGAAAAAAAAAAGUCGAUCGAUGGUAGCUCAUGGGGAACUAAAUGAUGAUCUAAAGGGAAAAGAAGAAUAAAAAAAAGUAGUAGUGAAAGUGGAUGAAGCAUAUGGAAGGGAAGAUCAUAAAAGGAUCGAUGGAUUGGAAUUGGAUGUGUAGAGCAUGUGAAGCCGUUGAACAGGUGCAUGACAGAGCUCCUGUACCGCAUGCAUCAAAAAGUAGAAAAACGCCUGAGCGUAGAGGUCUGUGAUGUUUGGAAGCAUACGUGAGGCCUCGCUUAACUGAAUGCUUUUGUAUGCUGUGCCAGAGAAGAGAUCAGAUCAAGGAACCAUGCACCAGCACUGGGGAUGAAAGGAUCUAAUUUAAGCUCAAAGCUUUCGCUUAAUUGGAAGUGGCGGCCUUCUCGGUUACCAAGCUGGUGCAACGUAGGCAUUGACGCAUGCGCUGGCGAGGUGUUCGAUCUUAUGCCACUGUGGAGUGUUGCAGAAUAAAAGGUUACAUAAAUGACUUCCUUUGUACAUCUACAUCUUUCCUUAUUGAUGCAUUUUUUAAUUUCUGCUGUGUUCCCAAGUAACUUCCAUAUUCCUUCGAGCGUGUUAUGUUAGUCAUAUGCAUCAAUAUAAGUAGUUUUAAAUAUUUUUCUAAUAGUGAUAUCAUAUUAUCGGAUAUUGCGUGUGAUCUGUAGUAGAUUGAUCACACACUAUCUGUUUUUGUUUCAAGUGUUAUCGAUUGAUUAGACUAAAACAUAUAUUUUUUGUGUCUAAUUGUUAUCAAUUUUGUGGCUUAACCAAACUUAUCCAUUUAUUGAUCAUGGGAUGAAAAUGAAUACAACGUAAACAAGAGGAGAGGGGAAGCACAAAGAAUGCUGCCUACAACAAUAAAAGGGAGAAAUGAAGUCAAAGUUAAAGAAAUGUAUUGAUAUCAUGUAUUUGUAAGUGUUCUAGACCCAAUUGUGCCAAUAUCUUGGAGUAUUACAUAUUUAGUUGAGAUGUAUUAAAACUAGUAA